GAUGAACGCUGGCGGCGUGCCUAAUACAUGCCAGUCGAGCGAGCAGACGAGGAGCUUGCUCCUCUGACGUUAGCGGCGGACGGGUGAGUAACACGUGGGUAACCUACCUAUAAGACUGGGAUAACUUCGGGAAACCGGAGCUAAGACCGGAUAAUAUAUUGAACCGCAUGGUUCAAUAGUGAAAGACGGUUUUGCUGUCACUUAUAGAUGGAUCCGCGCCGCAUUAGCUAGUUGGUAAGGUAACGGCUUACCAAGGCAACGAUGCGUAGCCGACCUGAGAGGGUGAUCGGCCACACUGGAACUGAGACACGGUCCAGACUCCUACGGGAGGCAGCAGUAGGGAAUCUUCCGCAAUGGGCGAAAGCCUGACGGAGCAACGCCGCGUGAGUGAUGAAGGUCUUCGGAUCGUAAAACUCUGUUAUUAGGGAAGAACAAAUGUGUAAGUAACUAUGCACGUCUUGACGGUACCUAAUCAGAAAGCCACGGCUAACUACGUG
rnacentral:rRNA from 1 species